rnacentral:misc_RNA from 1 species
AAGUCGUAACAAGGUUUCCGUAGGUGAACCUGCGGAAGGAUCGUCAUCGAAUUCAUACCCUCCCCCCCUCACCGGGGGGUGGGCUCAUGAUAAACCCUUCUGUGCACUGUAAACCGUUCACUUUGGCAGGCUUUGGUCGCGAGUGUUCCGCUCGCCCCAACCUCGCGUGCCCCUCCCAAGGGGUACGCGAGGCGGCCUGCCGGAGUCCUCUUCUGAAAAACUCGUUUGAGAACACGUCUGAAAAUUUCCUUUGAGAAAUCAAAGAACCGAAAACAACUUUCGACAACGGAUCUCUUGGCUCUC